rnacentral:rRNA from 1 species
AUCGAUGAAGAACGCAGCGAAAUGCGAUAAGUAAUGCGAAUUGCAGAAUUCCAGUGAGUCAUCGAAUCUUUGAACGCACAUUGCGCCCUUUGGUAUUCCGAAGGGCAUGCCUGUUCGAGCGUCAUUAUCACCCCUCAAGCCCCUGGCUUGGUGUUGGACGGCUUGGUCGCGGCCCCGGCGGCGACCCCUCCUAAAGUGAAUGACGGCGGCCUGUGGGACCCCCGGUACACUGAGUUCUUCAUUGAGCACGUAUCGGUUUGCGUGGUUCCCAGGACACGGUCCUCUCCCUUCACGGGAAACCUUUUUUCUUCUAGGUUGACCUCGGAUCAGGUAGGAAUACCCGCUGAACUUAAGCAUAUCAAUAAGCGGAGGAAAAGAAACCAACAGGGAUUGCCUCAGUAACGGCGAGUGAAGCGGCAACAGCUCAAAUUUGAAAUCUGGCUCCUUUAGGGGUCCGAGUUGUAAUUUGUAGAGGAUGUUUCGGGUACCGCCUCGGUCUAAAUUUCUUGGAACAGAAUGUCAAAGAGGGUGAGAAUCCCGUCUUGGAUCGGUGGUAGGGCCCAUGUGAAACUCCUUCGACGAGUCGAGUUGUUUGGGAAUGCAGCUCAAAAUGGGUGGUAAAUUUCAUCUAAAGCUAAAUAUUGGCCAGAGACCGAUAGCGCACAAGUAGAGUGAUCGAAAGAUGAAAAGCACUUUGAAAAGAGAGUUAAACAGUAUGUGAAAUUGUUGAAAGGGAAGCGCUUGCAACCAGACUUGAGCGCGGCGGUUCCCCCUUCCUUUUGGUUGGGUUACUCCGCCGUGUCCAGGCCAACAUCGGUUCUGGGGGUUGGUUAAAGGCCUUGGGAAUGUAUCUACUCCUUCGGGUGUAGACUUAUAGCCCAGGGUGUCAUGCGACCUCCCGGGACCGAGGAACGCGCUUCGGCUCGGAUGUUGGCGUAAUGGUUGUAAGCGACCCGUCUUGAAACACGG